GGAUUUGCUCUAUUCUACUACACGGAUAACUGUAGUAAUUCUAGAGCUAAUACGUGCCUCGAUGCCCUGAUCCGCAAGGUGAGGGGUGCACUUAUUAGAUUACAGACCAAACGGCGCAAGCCGUAGUUUGUGGUGACUCUGGAUAACUUUGUAUGAUCGCAGCUGGCCUUGUUGUCGGCGACGGAUCCAUCAAAUAUCUGCCCUAUCAACUUUCGAUGGUAGGAGACAUGCCUACCAUGGUUAUGACGGGUAACGGGGAAUCAGGGUUCGAUUCCGGAGAGGGAGCCUGAGAAACGGCUACCACAUCCAAGGAAGGCAGCAGGCGCGUAAAUUACCCACUCUCUGAACGAGGAGGUCGUGAAGAUAAAUUGGGGAUAAAGCUCAAUGAGAUUGCGGCGCCACCCCCGAGGCUACCUCCGCCGCAACCCGCUCCGCUCUCUAGGGCUGACCAUAAAUAAUUGCCCCCACUAGUGAGGGGGGGGCUGCCCCCACCGUUUGGGGACAGUGAUAUACGGGCCGUGUCCUCGGCUCUCAAGAUAUUCAUUUACAAAAUAAGCUAUGCUUUACAAACCCUCUCUUGAGAUGGUGAGAUCUG
rnacentral:rRNA from 1 species